rnacentral:rRNA from 1 species
GGGUUGUGAGGUUAAGCGACUAAGCGUACACGGUGGAUGCCCUGGCAGUCAGAGGCGAUGAAGGACGUGCUAAUCUGCGAAAAGCGUCGGUAAGGUGAUAUGAACCGUUACAGCCGGCGAUGUCCGAAUGGGGAAACCCAGUGCAAUUCGUUGCACUAUCGUUAACUGAAUACAUAGGUUAACGAGGCGAACCGGGGGAACUGAAACAUCUAAGUACCCCGAGGAAAAGAAAUCAACCGAGAUUCCCCCAGUAGCGGCGAGCGAACGGGGAGCAGCCCAGAGUCUGAAUCAGCUUGUGUGUUAGUGGAACGGUCUGGAAAGUCCGACGGUACAGGGUGAUAGUCCCGUACACCAAAAUGCACAGGCUGUGAACUCGAAGAGUAGGGCGGGACACGUGGUAUCCUGUCUGAAUAUGGGGGGACCAUCCUCCAAGGCUAAAUACUCCUGACUGACCGAUAGUGAACCAGUACCGUGAGGGAAAGGCGAAAAGAACCCCGGCGAGGGGAGUGAAAAAGAACCUGAAACCGUGUACGUACAAGCAGUGGGAGCACCUUUAUGGUGUGACUGCGUACCUUUUGUAUAAUGGGUCAGCGACUUAUAUUCUGUAGCAAGGUUAACCGUAUAGGGGAGCCGCAGGGAAACCGAGUCUUAACUGGGCGUUAAGUUGCAGGGUAUAGACCCGAAACCCGGUGAUCUAGCCAUGGGCAGGUUGAAGGUUGGGUAACACUAACUGGAGGACCGAACCGACUAAUGUUGAAAAAUUAGCGGAUGACUUGUGGCUGGGGGUGAAAGGCCAAUCAAACCGGGAGAUAGCUGGUUCUCCCCGAAAGCUAUUUAGGUAGCGCCUCGUGAACUCAUCUUCGGGGGUAGAGCACUGUUUCGGCUAGGGGGUCAUCCCGACUUACCAACCCGAUGCAAACUACGAAUACCGAAGAAUGUUAUCACGGGAGACACACGGCGGGUGCUAACGUCCGUCGUGAAGAGGGAAACAACCCAGACCGCCAGCUAAGGUCCCAAAGUCAUGGUUAAGUGGGAAACGAUGUGGGAAGGCACAGACAGCCAGGAUGUUGGCUUAGAAGCAGCCAUCAUUUAAAGAAAGCGUAAUAGCUCACUGGUCGAGUCGGCCUGCGCGGAAGAUGUAACGGGGCUAAACCAUGCACCGAAGCUGCGGCAGCGACACGAUGUGUUGUUGGGUAGGGGAGCGUUCUGUAAGCCUGCGAAGGUGACCUGUGAGGGUUGCUGGAGGUAUCAGAAGUGCGAAUGCUGACAUAAGUAACGAUAAAGCGGGUGAAAAGCCCGCUCGCCGGAAGACCAAGGGUUCCUGUCCAACGUUAAUCGGGGCAGGGUGAGUCGACCCCUAAGGCGAGGCCGAAAGGCGUAGUCGAUGGGAAACAGGUUAAUAUUCCUGUACUUGGUGUUACUGCGAAGGGGGGACGGAGAAGGCUAUGUUAGCCGGGCGACGGUUGUCCCGGUUUAAGCAUGUAGGCUGGUUAUCCAGGCAAAUCCGGAUAAUCAAGGCUGAGGUGUGAUGACGAGGCACUACGGUGCUGAAGUAACAAAUGCCCUGCUUCCAGGAAAAGCCUCUAAGCAUCAGGUAACAUCAAAUCGUACCCCAAACCGACACAGGUGGUCAGGUAGAGAAUACCAAGGCGCUUGAGAGAACUCGGGUGAAGGAACUAGGCAAAAUGGUGCCGUAACUUCGGGAGAAGGCACGCUGGUGUGUAGGUGAAGUCCCUGCGGAUGGAGCUGAGACCAGUCGAAGAUACCAGCUGGCUGCAACUGUUUAUUAAAAACACAGCACUGUGCAAACACGAAAGUGGACGUAUACGGUGUGACGCCUGCCCGGUGCCGGAAGGUUAAUUGAUGGGGUUAUCCGUAAGGAGAAGCUCUUGAUCGAAGCCCCGGUAAACGGCGGCCGUAACUAUAACGGUCCUAAGGUAGCGAAAUUCCUUGUCGGGUAAGUUCCGACCUGCACGAAUGGCGUAAUGAUGGCCAGGCUGUCUCCACCCGAGACUCAGUGAAAUUGAACUCGCUGUGAAGAUGCAGUGUACCCGCGGCAAGACGGAAAGACCCCGUGAACCUUUACUAUAGCUUGACACUGAACAUUGAGCCUUGAUGUGUAGGAUAGGUGGGAGGCUUUGAAGCGUGGACGCCAGUCUGCGUGGAGCCAACCUUGAAAUACCACCCUUUAAUGUUUGAUGUUCUAACGUGGGCCCCUGACCGGGGUUGCGGACAGUGUCUGGUGGGUAGUUUGACUGGGGCGGUCUCCUCCCAAAGCGUAACGGAGGAGCACGAAGGUUAGCUAAUCCUGGUCGGACAUCAGGAGGUUAGUGCAAUGGCAUAAGCUAGCUUGACUGCGAGCGUGACGGCGCGAGCAGGUGCGAAAGCAGGUCAUAGUGAUCCGGUGGUUCUGAAUGGAAGGGCCAUCGCUCAACGGAUAAAAGGUACUCCGGGGAUAACAGGCUGAUACCGCCCAAGAGUUCAUAUCGACGGCGGUGUUUGGCACCUCGAUGUCGGCUCAUCACAUCCUGGGGCUGAAGUAGGUCCCAAGGGUAUGGCUGUUCGCCAUUUAAAGUGGUACGCGAGCUGGGUUUAGAACGUCGUGAGACAGUUCGGUCCCUAUCUGCCGUGGGCGCUGGAGAAUUGAGGGGGGCUGCUCCUAGUACGAGAGGACCGGAGUGGACGCAUCACUGGUGUUCGGGUUGUCAUGCCAAUGGCACUGCCCGGUAGCUAAAUGCGGAAGAGAUAAGUGCUGAAAGCAUCUAAGCACGAAACUUGCCCCGAGAUGAGUUCUCCCUGAGACUAUAAGUCUCCUGAAGGAACGUUGAAGACGACGACGUUGAUAGGCCGGGUGUGUAAGCGCAGCGAUGCGUUGAGCUAACCGGUACUAAUGAACCGUGAGGCUUAACCUUACAACGCCGAAG